rnacentral:rRNA from 1 species
ACGGGGGGGGCAAGCGUUGUUCGGAAUUACUGGGCGUAAAGGGCUCGUAGGCGGCCAACUAAGUCGGAUGUGAAAUCCCCAGGCUCAACUUGGGAACUGCAUCCGAUACUGGAUGGCUUGAAUUCGGGAGAGGGAUGCAGAAUUCCAGGUGUAGCGGUGAAAUGCGUAGAUAUCAGGAGGAACACCAAUUGCGAAGGCAGCUCGCUGGGACGUUACUGACGCUGAGACGCGAAAGCGUGGGGAGCAAACAGGA